CCUACGGGAGGCUGCAGUGGGGAAUAUUGGACAAUGGGGGGAACCCUGAUCCAGCCAUGCCGCGUGUGUGAAGAAGGCCCUCGGGUUGUGAAGCACUUUCAGUGAGGAAGAACGCCUGGUGGUUAAUACCCAUCAGGAAAGACAUCACUCACAGAAGAAGCACCGGCUAACUCCGUGCCAGCAGCCGCGGUAAUACGGAGGGUGCGAGCGUUAAUCGGAAUUACUGGGCGUAAAGCGCGCGUAGGUGGCUUGAUAAGCCGGUUGUGAAAGCCCCGGGCUCAACCUGGGAACGGCAUCCGGAACUGUCAAGCUAGAGUGCAGGAGAGGAAGGUAGAAUUCCCGGUGUAGCGGUGAAACGCGUAGAGAUCGGGAGGAAUACCAGUGGCGAAGGCGGCCUUCUGGACUGACACUGACACUGAGGUGCGAAAGCGUGGGUAGCAAACAGGAUUAGAUACCCGUGUAGUC
rnacentral:rRNA from 1 species